GAAAAAGCUCUGGAAAUUCGAAAACAAUCGUUAGGUCCAAAUCAUGUUGAUGUCGUUAAGUCUUUUAAAUAAUCUAGGUGUGUUGUAUUAUGAAACUCGGGAAUAUGACCAAGCUUUACAGUUACACUUUGAUAGCUACGUGUUUUAAAGAAAAUUGUGCCUUCUAAAUUAUGUUAAGCCUAUUUUUAACACAUAGACCGUAGGAGCAAGGCUUCCACCUGCCAAGUCAGCUCCCCUCUCCCUCAGAAGGUAUUUUUGGUAGUGAAUAAAACGUUUGCAAUUUGCAUUUUGUGAGGUAAAAUGAACCUAAAGAUGUAAUGAUCCUUGUCUAUAUAUAGUUUCACUGAUAUCUAGUCAAUAAACUUACUCUACAGCC